ACGAUGACCAGGUCUUUAGGAAAACCUUUAUACAGUGAUGAAUUUCAAAAUGGAAGAUUCAACAUGAGUACCAACAUCUCCACUCUCUUUCUCCAAAUCAAACAUGUGGAUGUAUCUGACUCUGGACUGUAUUUAUGUGGAUUUUACACCGAAGGACAUUAUUAUUUCAACGCAAUACACUUAAAUGUUAAAGGUAAGAUUAUAAAAAUCCUGUGUUCUGUAUUCUUCUUUUUAUAUACGCCAAUAUCAUAAUUGGCAAAAAAAGAGCACAUUUCAUCAUUUUAAAACAAGAGAGUGAUACUAUUUUUCAAAGUAAAAUCAGACAUGAACUUAUCUUGAUUUUGUUAAAAGGCAGUGAUGAUUCUCAUGAUGACGCUGACAGGAAGUCUGAAAGCAGCGAUGAAUCUCAUGAUGACGACAGGAAGUCUGAAACAGAGUCUGAUGGAACAGCAAAGCUGAUGAUUUUGAUCCUGGGAGCUCUGACUGUUCUCCUCUUAAUGAUCAUCAUUGGUCUGGUUGUUAAAAACAGGAAACUUCAGAAAGCUGCCAAUGAAGAACAGAAUCCACAACAGCCUGAGAAUCUGGACUCUGACCUGAAAGAUGCAGCUCUGAGUUUGUAUGCAGCAACAAUAAGGAACAGGAGGCCUGCAUCAGAGAGAGAAGUGGAGACUCAUGCUGUUUAUGCUGUCUGCAGAUAGACUCAGAGUGGAACUGAUGCUUUAUCAUAUUCAUCUCCUGCUGUGUUCUUUUGUGGAUGAAUGGGGAGGAGUUAUCCUUUUCUUUAAAAAAAUAGUCAAAUAAAACCACUAAGAUUUUAAUCUCAUCUCUC